rnacentral:rRNA from 1 species
GAAUUUAAGCAUAUAACUAAGCGGAGGAAAAGAAACUAACAAGGAUUCCCCUAGUAGCGGCGAGCGAAGCGGGAAGAGCCCGGGAUGAAAAUCUCUUCGGAGAGUUGUAGUCUGAGCUCCCUUGGGCGGUCAGUGUGGGUAAAUCGUCUGGGAUGACGUGCCAGGGAGGGUGAGAGCCCCGUCCACCCCACACAGGACCCGCCCGCACGAGGGCGCUUCAACCGAGUCGGGUAGCUUGGGAAUGCUGCUCCAAUUGGUGGUAAAUCUCAUCAAAGGCUAAAUAACGGUGGGAGACCGAUAGCGAACAAGUACCGUGAGGGAAAGAUGGAAAGAACUUUGAAAAGAGAGUGAAAAGCGCUUGAAACCGUCACGGGGGAAGCGGAUUGCGUGAGUGAUGGUGUGCACUGUUCAGCUCAAAGAUUUGGAGUGUAUUCUGUGCAUGCCGGGCGUGUGUGGCUGGGCUGCGUGCGAAUUUGGCACGCGGAUCCUGGUGAGGGCUCCCUGCUUGUCGGGUGAGGACACACGCGAAAUGACGCAAUACGACCCGUCUUGAAACACGGACCAAGGAGUCUAGCACGGCUGCGAGUCGAAGGGUGUGAAAACCCAGAGGGCGCAGUGAAAGCGAAAGAAAGCAAAUUGGGGAGGCGUUGCGGUUUUACCAAAAUGUCCUACCUCGAGCACCUGUGCUGGGACCCGAAAGAUGGUGAACUAUGCCGGAGUAGGGCAAAGCCAGAGGAAACUCUGGUGGAGGCUCGUAGCGAUGCUGACGUGCAAAUCGCUCGUCGAACUUGGGUAUAGGGGCGAAAGACUAAUCGAACCAUCUAGUAGCUGGUUCCCUCCGAAGUUUCUCUCAGGAUAGCGGGCCGACGACAUGUUGUUUUGUGCGGUAAAGCGAAUGAUUAGUGCAUUUGGGGGCCGAAGGCCUCCAGGCGAUUCUCAAACUUUAAAUGCGCAAGGGGGCGGCUGCUUAAUUGAGCCUGCUCUUUGAAAAACGUCGGCCCUGUGGGCCACUUUUGGUAAGCAGAACUGGCGAUAAGGGAUGAACCUUAAGCGCGGUUAAGGCGCCGCAUUGCCCGCUUAUAGACCCCACAAAAGGUGUUGAUUCAUCCAGACAGCAGGACGGUGGCCAUGGAAGUCGGA